GACGAACGCUGGCGGCGUGCCUAAUACAUGCAAGUUGAGCGCUGAAGGUUGGUACUUGUACCAACUGGAUGAGCAGCGAACGGGUGAGUAACGCGUGGGGAAUCUGCCUUUGAGCGGGGGACAACAUUUGGAAACGAAUGCUAAUACCGCAUAAAAACUUUAAACACAAGUUUUAAGUUUGAAAGAUGCAAUUGCAUCACUCAAAGAUGAUCCCGCGUUGUAUUAGCUAGUUGGUGAGGUAAAGGCUCACCAAGGCGAUGAUACAUAGCCGACCUGAGAGGGUGAUCGGCCACAUUGGGACUGAGACACGGCCCAAACUCCUACGGGAGGCAGCAGUAGGGAAUCUUCGGCAAUGGACGAAAGUCCGACCGAGCAACGCCGCGUGAGUGAAGAAGGGUGUCGGAUCGUAAAACUCUGUUGGUAGAGAAGAACGUUGGUGAGAGUGGAAAGCUCAUCAAGUGACGGUAACUACCCAGAAAGGGACGGCUAACUACGUG
rnacentral:rRNA from 1 species